UACGGAGGGAGCUAGCGUUGUUCGGAAAUACUGGGCGUAAAGCGCACGUAGGCGGCGCAGCAAGUCAGGGGUGAAGUCCCGGGGCUCAACCCCGGAACUGCCCUUGAAACUGCAGUGCUAGAAUUCUGGAGAGGCGAGUGGAAUUCCGAGUGUAGAGGUGAAAUUCGUAGAUAUUCGGAAGAACACCAGUGGCGAAGGCGACUUACUGGACACAUAUUGACGCUGAGGUGCGAAAGCGUGGGGAGCAAACAGG
rnacentral:rRNA from 1 species